rnacentral:snRNA from 1 species
GUGCUCGCUUUGGCAGCACAUAUACUAAAACUGGAAUGAUACAGAGAAGAUUAGCAUGGCCCCUGAGCAAGGAUGACACACAAAUUCAUGAAGCGUUCCAUAUUUUU